rnacentral:lncRNA from 1 species
GAGGACCUGUCGAAACACAGCAAGAAGACAAAGUCAGCCUCAGAACACCGAUGCCAAUGCAGAGAGAGUAGUGAAGGUAGUAUUAAACUAUAUUCGGUAUAUUUUAAAGAUCAACGCGUGAAACUAUACAUGGAGGUUUUGAAACUUUCUACAGGGAUUGGCGUGGUGGAGGAGGUGAGUUGCGGCACCUUCGAGAGGAGGGUUCCUCAAUCAGGUCCUCAAAGUAUUAGGCGUACGAGUCCUCAAUGAUGGACAUGCAUGGUAGAACAGAUUCUCUUCAUAUAUUUCUGUCGACGGGAAGCCAUGGAGGAUAAAUGGUAGCAGGGAGAGAGACACAGAG